AAGGAAUGCGGGAAGACGGCGACACACGCACGCGGGCAAUGACAUUGAACGGGUCUGCCCUCGGGGAUUUUUCGCCCUGCCAGUGUGUGGCCGAGUUAUCCGGAGUGCCGGGUUAUCGAGAGCCGAGUUUUUGGGGCUCUACUGUAGCAAUCAAUUUUGAGAGGGUUUGUCUAAAAUUCAGUCUCUUCAUUUUUAUUAUAAUUUUGGAUAUGUGUGUCUGGUAUAAAUCAAGCAUUAAGUUUAUACUAAACAGCCAGAUAUAUUCUCUUCAAAUAUAAAAAUAGUAAAAUAAAUAAAUACUAAAAUCAUAAUUACUUCAAUCUGUUUUAUAGAUAUCUAUUUUUAAUAGAUCUUCUAUAAUAUAAUACAAGCUCUGAUAAAUAUUCUUUUCUCGCAUUGUUUGAGAUGUUUGCCACUUUUCUGAAUAAAGGUAUUUCUCUGAUUAUGAACAUAACAUGUUUUUGAUAUUUGUUUUAACAAUUAAAAACAUAGUUACUCAAAAUUUUAUUUUACAUUGAUCUUGAAAAGUUAUGAACACACACAAAGUUCAUAUGCAAUCAAAAGCAUAUGAACUUCUAGAUUGUGUUUGGAAUCUAGAAGUUAUAUAUGCUAAUGAUUGCAUCAAUUAUGUCUUUUAUUUGAACUUCUAAAAUACUGUAUCAUAAGAAUAUUUGAUGGAAGUUUUACCAUUUUGAAAGUUAUUGCUAACAUCUUAAAUAAUUAUUCUGUAUGUUGCUUUAUGAUAUAUUUGCUACUAGAAGUUUGUUACUAUGAUUUUUAAAAAUUUCAUAUAGUUUUUGAAUUUCUCAUAAAUUUGAUGAUAAAAUAUUCAUAUGCAUAAGUGUUUGUUAACUAGAGGAACACUGAACUAUCAUUCAUCAUGAAGUGCCUUCUUUAAAAUAUUUUAAAGAAUCUAACAUAUUAUUAUAUUAUAAGACUGAAUUUAUCUGAUUGAAAGCCAACUUGUGUAAAAUUUUAGAAUAAUAUAUUUUGAGAAUGCAGAUUAUUGCAAUAUUUUUAGAAUUAAUUUUAUUACUUCUAAUGAUAUUGUGAAAAUUUAAAGUCUUUAAUAUAAAAAUUUUAAAGUCACAAUUAUAUAAAUCUGAAUAGCAGUGCUUCUUACAAUAAACAUGUUAAAAAUGCUGUUUUAUAAUUUUUUGUAAAACCAGAUUGAUUUUUGUCUAAAUAUUUUAAUAUUACAUAUGGAAUGCUAUAUUAUUGAAUGAAAUUUAUCAUUCAUAGUUAAUCCUUAAAAAUCCAGAUUAUUUUUUCAAAAUUUUUCUUGUCAGCUUUAAUGAGCUAUUGAGACUGUAUUGCAAAA
rnacentral:lncRNA from 1 species